AACGUAUUCCAGGAACGGUCUUGUUUUUUUUUUAUAUUACCGUUAAAAAAGCUGGAUUUCAUCUCUAUUUGUGGGCAGUUCACCUGCGAAGAGGGGCAGAUUGUUCCCUAUUGUGUUGCUAUUUUUUUUUGGUUUUGUUUGCCUUUCAGAUUGUUCCCUAAUCUGUUUUUUUGUUUUUUGUUUCUGGCAUGACCAUGCCCUUUCUUCCUUCUGCUUCUGAGUUUUGCGUUUUUUCUUUUUCAUUUUUUGGUUCAUGGUAUUUGUAAAUGUUUUGUGUGUGGAUGGCAAUUAUUCAAUGGUAAAUCAGUUUGACCAUGAUAGGCCUUGUUUUUUGUUUGUUCAUUAUUUUUGUUCGCUCUGGCCUUCACAAGUCGUUUCUGGGUUGUUCAUUUUGCUGGCCCAGGGUACACUACAAUCUCUGGAGUUGCCAAUGGAGCUGGCUCAGGGAGGAGCUCAAGAAGAGCUAUAAAUAGGCCAACCCUAAAGCCAAGGGUGGCUGGCACAGCUGCUGGCCUGAAGUGGACGUGGAAUUUGAUUGUACAGUUACACUCACCUGCAAUGGCUUUAUUUGUUUUUAGACGUGGAUCUCAACGAUUCUUGAGUGGUUCAUUUUUAUUUAAUCAAUGUCGGUAUUUCUGAAUGAUGGUCUUGUUUAGUAUUAUAGUCUGUUUGUUAAAAGAUGCUGAUUCAAUCAUUUUGAAUACUGAAUUUAGUUUGCAGUGAGGCCUGCAAGAAGGAUGUGCCUUUAGCAACUGUAGAUAUGCAUAAUUGCUAACAGGAUGGGAAAAUCUGGACUAGUUUUGGUUUGUUGUUUUAGGAUGCUUGGUUUGUUGUUUUAGGAUUGCUUGUAUUUAUUCUCUUUUAGGUUUUGGUGGACUACCACUGUGUUAUAUACAAGUAAUGGAGGUUUUUAUUUGUGCUAUAUGCUGGUGUAGAAGCCCCAAAAGCACCACAAGAGCCCAAUUGUGCAGAGGCUAAGAAACCAGGAGAGGUCAAUGAGUUAGAUAUCGAGCGAGAAGAAGAAAAAGCCCAAGAAGGAGAAGGGGGUUAAGGAUCCAAAUUUGCCAAAAAGACACAGACUCCUUUCUUCUUUUUCAUGUUGCCAAAGAUGGUGCUGAUAAGUGGAAGUCUUUGUCAGAUGAGGUUUGCAGCUAGGCUAUCAUGUAGUUAUGUUGUAAUAUAUUGAGAAAGUUGUUGAAUUGAAGGCACUAAGUACAAAAAAGGAAUUUUGAGUGAAAGGUAAGAUUGCUUUGAUCUAAACUUUAGAUGUAAAAAUUAAAAUGUUUAAAUUAUGUUAAUCUUUAAAUUGCUCUUGAUGUAAUUCCAUUUAUUUAA